rnacentral:rRNA from 1 species
CAACAAGCUACCGUACACAUGCAGUCGAGCGGAACGAUCCUAGCUUGCUAGGAGGCGUCGAGCGGCGGACGGGUGAGUAAUGCAUAGGAAUCUGCCCGGUAGUGGGGGAUAACUUGAGGAAACUCAAGCUAAUACCGCAUACGCCCUACGGGGGAAAGCAGGGGCUCUUCGGACCUUGCGCUAUCGGAUGAGCUUAUGUCGGAUUAGCUGGUUGGUGAGGUAACGGCUCACCAAGGCGACGAUCCGUAGCUGGUCUGAGAGGAUGAUCAGCCACAUCGGGACUGAGACACGGCCCGAACUCCUACGGGAGGCAGCAGUGGGGAAUAUUGGACAAUGGGGGCAACCCUGAUCCAGCCAUGCCGCGUGUGUGAAGAAGGCCCUCGGGUUGUAAAGCACUUUCAGCGAGGAAGAAUGCUUGUCGGUUAAUACCCGGCAAGGGAGACAUCACUCGCAGAAGAAGCACCGGCUAACUCCGUGCCAGCAGCCGCGGUAAUACGGAGGGUGCGAGCGUUAAUCGGAAUUACUGGGCGUAAAGCGUGCGUAGGCGGCUUGAUAAGCCGGUUGUGAAAGCCCCGGGCUCAACCUGGGAACGGCAUCCGGAACUGUUAGGCUA